rnacentral:lncRNA from 1 species
GCUGCCCUCUUCCCACCCUGACCUCCCGCCCUGCCCGUAGGACCACCCCCUACUCCCCUACUUACCCCCGCUACCACCCCCACCCCCUGAGCGCAUGACCUUACGCUAUCAUCCCCCGCCGCGGCCACUAUCCCACCAACCGAUAUGGGGUACAAUGGCACACACACGCAAUAUAACGAAAAACGCAAAUGUAGCAAACUAGAUAACAACUAACUCGAUAUGCUAUCUAAAAUACGAAAACGAUACGUAAAAAGAUGCACAAUGUAAACAAGGGAG